GUUCUGACCAUCCCCUUAUUUUUCUACCCUUUGACUUCUUUUUAAUUUCUCAAGGUCUCUGGAGCUCUGGAAAAAAAAACAUACCCACAGAAUUCCUUGAAGGAGAUGGAGGUGGCGACAGCUGACAGGGAGCUCUGGCAUGGGCUGGUUCAUGAGGUUACAAAGAGUUGGAAGUGACUGAACAAGGAAAUAACAAUUCCAUCAUACUUUGAAAUUAUUUCAGCAGCAAUCUAUAAAACAACAUUAUUGCAACUUGAGAAGACUUUCUUUUAAGAAAAAAUUCCUCUGGCCUCUUGUUCUAUCAACAUUAUUCCACCACCACUGCUACCACCAAUAUAGUAUAUGCAACUUCCUUAAAAAGAUAGAAAAUAUCAACUUGGAUGCAGAACACAUCAUACGAUGUGCGGGGCUUGAUGAAUGAAAGGCUGGGGUAAAAAUUGCUGGAAGAAACAUUAACAACAUUAGAUAUGCAGAUGAUGCCACUUUGAUGGCUGAAAGUGAGGAGGAGCUGAAGAGCCUUCGAAUCAAGGUGAAAGAAAAAAGUGCAAAAGCUGGGUUGCAGUUAAACAUAAAAAAAAAACAACCCAAGAUUAUGGCAACCAGACUGAUUAUAACUGGCAAAUACAGGGAGAAAACAUGGAGGCAGUGGCAGACUUUGUAUUUCUAUGUGCAAAGAUUACUACAGAUGCAGUCUGCAGCCAGGAAACCAGAAGACGUUUAUUUCUUGGGAGGAGAGCAACCAUCAAUUUCAAUAAAAUAGUGAAGAGUAGAGACAUCACACUGGCAACAAAUAUCCACAUAGUAAAAGCAAUUGUAU